CCUCAUCGCACCAACGGCUGCCCGCCAGGGCUGAUAGCCAACAGAGGCAUGGCCUUGAGACAUCGACCACAUAAGGGGAAGAACGCAUGCUGCAGGCGGCGGAUGUCACCCUGAUUUUCCAACUGCCCCUUGGGGGACCAGGACUGGGCCGCACGUAGGUACCGAGUCCGUGGACAGAGGGUGUCGACUAUCACCACAGCCUGGGGCUGGAGGACAAUCUCCUGCACCUGUUGCCCAUCGGUUGAACCCGACAAUCACCGCAAACAGCCAACUACCCACCAAGCUGCUCACCCUUCCGGGCUGAAAACACCUCAAGGCACUGCCUCCCUGCAACAGCCAC